CAAAGCUGGAGGAGUCCACCAGAGAUUACUUUGAUGCUAUGGCUCCAAAGCGCCAUACCAAGCCUCAGCGCAGCGACUAUUCUAAAACUUACACCGAUUCUUGUUCUGAUGAUGUUAUUCCUGAGCACGUUCGAUUUCAACUUCUUGAAAAUGAUCCUCAGGUUACUUUCUUCAUCAUCAAAACCCACCUAGUAAUCUAUCUGUAAUUUGAUCUUAUUACUUAGUUCUUGUAACUUGUUAAGACUUGUUCUCAAGAAGUUUUGAGCUAGUUUCUUUUUUCUGUCCUGUCCAAUUGUUGCAGAAACUGGGGCGCACCAGUGGAAGCCAAGCAACUGAGGAGUUCGUUGAAAAGAGUAUUAUAAAGAUCUCAACUGCAUCGACAAGCAACAUCACACGGUAGUAGCGUGAUUUGAUUCCAUUGCAUCUCUACAUUAUUUUGGUUACCUCAACUGGUCGAAUAGUAACAAGAUCAGAAACAAAAAAAGCCAGCAUUCGAGUAUAUAUAUAUAUAUAAAAAAAGAUUUUCUUCUUUUUUUCUUGAUAGAAAAAUUAGUGAUGUUCCCCUAAUCAUCCAAAUGAAACAUGAAUAAUCCUCUGCUCUUGAAAAUGAAAUUGCAGACGGGAACUGGAUUCAUUGCUAUAGAGAGCAUGAAAGGCAAAUCCUUCAGCUUAGAACCAGAUUCUGCAACAGAUUACCAUGGCUCCUGCAAGGGAAAUCCAGCGACUAAUGAAUGGAUUCCAGCAGCUGCUGAUGAGGUCGUAACUACUUUCAUUUUGAAUAAGCUUCUUUUAAACUAUAUCCAUUUUCCGUUUGGUAUUCCAGAUAAGAUGUCGUCUGAUUUCACUUUCGUUGAUUGCCGGUUUCAGGCUGGUUUCGUCUCCGACAAACCCAAGAGGAGUGACAACUGAAGGGGAAUGAUAGAUCAUUGAAGACCUGUUCCUGAACAUGAUCCUUUCGUUGGAGAUAUUUCUCAUAUUAUGCUAUUGUUGAAUUCCUGACGAAAUAAAUGCAAUCUUUCCAGUGAUGGAUGUUCUUGUGCUCCUGGUCGUCGAUCCGCUUAAUUUUCUUCACCAUUUUAUCAUAUACAUAUCAAAGCGAUUAGUUAAGCUUGAUAAUUCUCAAUAAGUUCAUCCUAACAAGUAGAUCACGAAUACUAAAAAAUCUCAAACUCUAACUAAAAAAAUCAGCCAAUUCAUGGUGAUGACUAGUGUACAACAAGAGUCCAUUUACAUGUAUUGGUGAUUGGCACAAAUCAAGGCCUUUCGACUUCAACAAGGUCACAACCCUGUGACGUACAAGCUAGCAGCAAAGACAAUGUCGCGCUUUAUGGCAUUCGAAGCAGUUUCCAUUUUCUUGUAAAGGGCAGAAUUACCCAUGAUCGCAGCAGCAUUUUUAAAUUCACGGCAUGUCUCAUCCAAUCUAACUAUGGUCCUGACUAUCAAACCUUCAGGAACAUCAGUGAGUUCACAAAUAUCAGCAAAUGGAGUGCCCUGGCAAAAGAAAAGCAGAUCACAUUCAGAAGUUUCUGAGAGGAGAUGCAAGAGACUAAUUAACGAGAAUGGUUUAAACAGGCAUGUAAAGAAGAAUUAGGGCAGAGUGCAUGCCCCAACCCUCCCCUCCUUAAAAAAAAAGGAAGGGGGGGGGGAGAGAGAGAGAAACAGACAUAGCGACCUUUGCCCAUUCGUAAACCACUUCAACGAGACCAAACUUGAGAUUCUCCCGAGCAUACUCUUCUGGAUCGAUCUGUAUUUUGAAGCUUGCUUGAAGUUGACCUAGCCUUAUUGCUGUAUCGUACAAUCUGGGUUCCAGGGAAAUGAAAUGAACAUACAAGUCAAAGUAAAAAUGAGACUAGAAAGUCUUUCUACUGGAGACAACUACAUCAACAAGGUUACAGUAAGGUUUGGGAAAAAGCAAAACCAAUACAUAUAAUUAUAUAAAUCAAUUUAGACCCCAAAUAACAAAAAAGAAAAAAAGAAGAGGAAGACGAUGAUGAAGGGAAAGAAUUGACAUAUCUUUCAUUUCUACAACGCCUCAGCAUUAGGCGGACCACAAAUCUUAACAAGCAAAGUUCGAGAGCAAAAGGAAGAACAUUUCAAGAAAUAACCACCACAAAUGAAUUCCUGCAAUUAGCAACUUGGCCGAACUUUGAAACUUUUUAUACUGAGACAUCAACUUAUUUCAAGACAUUAAGGCAUGGUAGAAAGUCACAGUUUUUUUUUUUCAUUGGCAGAAUGUUAAUUAACCAAAAUCUUGUAAUCCACCGGAAAAAAGUAUUUCUGGAAAAGGGAUGACAAUUAGUAUAUGCAAAUCUUAAGAAACCCUUAACCAUUCAGUAAAAUCCUUGUUGACCAGAUCAUCAAACUCUAAGCAUUUUACUUAAGGUCCCUAGUUCGACUUCACGCCCUCCUCUUUCGCAUUUGUAAGCUUAGAGUCUCCCCUUGAACCAAAAAAUAAAAUAAAAAUAAUAAAAGCAAAAAUGCAUUUUGAAACCAUACAAGGCAAAACCCCUGCACCAACUAUAAGAACAAGUUCCUGAGAAUACUCCAAGCUCAUUUGAUAAAAAUUACAUGGACACAUUAAAAAGCUUUGGAUACUAUAUUGUGCUAGUUUCUGCACAGAUCCAAAGAACUCCGUUUUCUUCAUAAUCUACCCAAAAUAGCAUCCACUUAAAAAAAGAAAUGAGAUACUAGAAGUGUUACGAACAAAUCCUGGUGGUGGUGGUUGGCCCGGGGGAGGAGGAUGAGAGUUUAAAAUGUUACCUCUUACAAGCCAGAGAAAGCUUUGGUGUAAGAGAAGGUUCAGAGGUAUUUUUCUGCUGAAAGACAAAGGCAGACAUAAUUGCCACAGCUUCUUCUGGUUCCAAGUCAUCGAACUGAUUCUCAAACAAGCACUCAGUGCAUAUUAAUUCCUCCCCAGAAUUCAUUUCACAAGCAACACGGCCUUUUAUUUGAACCACAAGGUCAGCAUCUACACAACCGAUUUCCUUCAAAACAUCAAUCUGCAAAGAUAUGCAUUAUUUGUAACAGGCUAAUCCAAUUCUAAGAUCAUGCAUGCCAAAUCCGCGUUUUGCAAUGGAAAACAUCACAUACCCGACCCUGAAAAUCAGGCAUUUGCUGCAGUGCUUCAUCUGACAUUUCGAACUUCAAGGCAUUGACUUCCUCUCUGUGCUGCUUCAAUUCACGGGCUAACUUAAUAUGCUCCUCCAAUUUGACACAUCCGUGGCAUUUAUUUUGUGCCAUCUUUUGCAACAAAAUGUUCAAUUUAUGAUAAGCUUUAACAACAUCUAGGUCUUUCAGCUUCAGAUCUGUUACACAAUCCCAUCAGAUGCAAAGCUAGGGGAGAAUAAGAGAGCCUAGAAAGAAAGCAGAUUAUUUUUAAAAAAUAAGAGCAUAGCAAGAUUGGUGCACAUUUCUCAGAUUUUUCACACUUGUUAUGGAUUUAAACAUCAAAUCUUCUAAUUUCCAACUGAAAGAAGACAACACAAGUUAACGAGGCGAUAAAAACUGAUUCUAUUUAUCAUCUGUGCCAGAAUGUUAAAUGCACAUCAAUUUCCACCCUCAGCACCCUAAUGCUAACAGCCAACAGAUCAUGAAAACCAUAACUCACAGAGAGUAGAUUUGAGGCCAAUUAACUUCCUUCAACAUACUUGCAUAUGAGUCAGCCUAAGUCUGAAGCUGGCAGAAGCCACUUUGUCAAAAGUGUCUAGCACUAAAUUGCAAGAUGACAAUCUUAUAAAACUAGCAGAUACUCCAAGGCAACAUACCUGUCCAUUGUUCCAGGGGAUUUACAUGUCCUAAUCAUCUGUAGAUGAUGUGCAUCACUGACAAAACAACUUAAUUUUUUAAAUACUCUUCAGUUCUAUCAAGUACUAAACCAGUUACUGGUAUUAUACUACUCAAACCACUAUUUAGCAACUGGAAGUGACCUACAGAAUUUUCCUGGAGGAAACCAAAUCCAUUCAUAUGAUAAUCUUAGACUUGCAAAAGCAUUCCCAGGCAGUCACGUGAUGGUUAUAUGUUUUUUUUCCUUAUAAUUCUAGUUUGGGCAAACAAAUAUAAUAGAGAAUAACUAUCUGUGAGGAUUUAUUAUUGUCAACAAGAAUGAUAUAUCCACACCCCCCAGAAAUAGCAGUUGCACAUAGAUCUUGUACUCCACAAGCAUUUUUCUUUCAAUAACCAAACAGGUGAGACCAAUGAUAAAUGACAACCAAAGUCCAAUUAGAGGGUACUGGUGACCAUAAGCUUAAACAGUUCACUUACAAACCUUUGACUGGAUCUAGAGGUGGAGGGUACUUAUUUCCAUCAGAUUUCAAUAACAGCAGCUGCUGUACAGUAUUCGAGUAGGCUCCAGCACUGACAUCUUCCAGAAGUCGAACUUGAUCAAUCUUUAUUUUGCAGUUGCAUAUUGAAAGGAACUCUUUGUUAUCAAUUCCUCGAACUUCAUAAUUCAUCCCAGCAGCAGUACCACGAUGAGGUAAUUUAAUGUUGACAACACCUGAACCUCUCCGAGAAGUGACUGAAGAAUAAUAAUCAUCCUCCAGACCACGUUUUGACUUAGGUAUCAAUAUCUGUAAACCAGCACCUUUAUCAUCCUUCAAGUUGCUACUAUCUGAUGGGUUUUGCAAUGUCAAAGGCAAUUCAGGCAUCAGCACAAAAACUAUGUACUGCUUAUUGUUAGAAGAAGGUGCUUUCACAACAACGCCUAGCAAGUGAUCCUGGGCCUGCCAGAUGCCAAUGGAAUGGAAAAAUGUCAGCAAAUUUUGGAAUGCUGCCACACUCAUGUGAUCCAACUAAUGUUACCCCAUGAGUUAAAGAUCUAUUAAACUCGGCCAAAAAUCAUUGUUCCAUUAGAAAAAGCAAAUGACCUGUAUCUGUCUCAUUAUAGCUAAGCAACUUUAAGCUACUAUGAAUAACAAAUUUUGUCAAGGCAAUCCGGAAAGACAACCAAAGAUUUGACUAAAACCUGAUUUCAAGCAUCUAUCAAAAAGGUAAAACAAUCAAGUCCAAGAAUCUAGUAACUACCAGUGAUGAGGCAUAAGUGGUCCUGGGCAUUGAGUCCUUAGGACUUGAAACUCAUGCACGGCAACAGAUUGAAUAACAUCCAAAAAAAAAUUACCUUUCUAACAAGGAACUAUGAAGACAAUCAACAAAUAGAAAGGAGGAACAAAAUUCUAAAGGAUAACAGAGAAGGAUACAAGUAGUAAUUUUCACCACAGGUGAAGGUAAGAACUAGGAAUGUGAACUUACUGACUCUGAUUUUACAACCACCACUCUUCCAGGACUAAGAUAAUGCUGGGAGCCAGGGGACUGCAUGACUGCCUCCACUAUCUUGGUGCUAUGUGUGUCAGCUUCUGAGGACAUCUCAUAGUACUCCUCUAUUGCUGGUUCACCCUUUAUGCAUCUAAAUGCAACACAGAAGUUUAUUUAAACCCUAUAUAAAGUGGCACAAGUGAUGCACUUGCAAGGAAGGUACACACAUGUGAUCAUAGUCUUUAAUUUGCUCACAACAGAAAGGGGGGGGGGAGGAUAGCAUUAAUAAUGCAUAUAAAUGGUAUUUACAACGAAAACUAAGAUAGGCACAACCACAUUAUUUUCCUGGCAAGGGUUGGCAAUGAAACAAAUGCAUGCAAAAGAAUAUCUAAAUAGCCCUAGUUGCAAAAUUUCUGCCAUGAUACUCUUCGCUGUGUCCUUACUCAAUAGUUUUUGUUUGCUGGGCAAGCUUUCGCAUUAGAAGUUGCUGUUUCUCGGGAAGUUUUUUCUGAGCAUGGAAUUCAGCAAAACUUCUUUUUAGCAUAUCCUCCACCUGCAAUUUUUUGAAACAGAUAAGCAAAUUUAACCUAUAACCACUACUGAGAAAUAAAGCCAUCACCCAAUAUCCCAAACUACUAACCAAAAAGCUCAAUCCAUGUACCCAAUAAUGUACCAUUCCAGAAAAAAUCAAGCUGAUGGACAUAAAAUGUUGGCUUUAGAUGGAGGUCCAUUUUAGAGCUAACAGUGAGAUAUUAUCAACCUAUCAUGUAAAAUUUGCCAACUGUUAAAGAGUGUAACCUACAUAUCUCCUAGAUCUUGAUAUUCUGCCAAUGAUGUACAGGACCGACCACAGCACAAACCAAUUCUAUUAACAGUGCCCUAACAAUCUACUCAUAAAAGAGAAACUUAAAAUUUAGGCUAGAGCUAAAAUUUCCCUGCAGUGUCAUUUGGGCAAUGGCUAAAAUUUUCUGGACAUGUCAUUCAGUUUGCAUAAACUUUGAAGCUAUUCGCUCAAUUGUCAGGAAUUAGAAGUUAAGCUCUGCUGCUGAGAUAGUUGACUAGGAGGAAAUCAUGAACACAAUUGGCAAAUAAUUGCAAAAUAUCACACAAGGGGAAAAUAUGAAAAGAAAAUUUGCCAAUUGAAAGUGUACUGGCUAACAUUGCAAUACUAGGAUUCCAAUUUUCUAUUAUGACAGAUCUUUAUGUAUUUGUAUGUGUCAACAAGAAACUGGUUAAAGCAGCAACUUCAGUGAGGACACAUCUAUUACUAACAACCUUGAUUAAGUAAUAUGUUAUAUACCUUCAGUUCUUCAACACGGAGGAGAUGCAGGAUCAUGAUAUAGGUCAGUCGAAAUUGAGAUUCAAGCCUAGUUGGCCUACCAACUAUCACAGGCUUUAGAUCUCUCUCAUCGGGGAUUUCAUCACGACACAUGACAAUAACUGUACCAGUCUCAUCCAGUCCUCUCCUCCCAGCACGACCAGCCAUCUGAGUAUACUCUCCUGAGAGUAACUGUCUAAAUUCCUUGCCAUCAAACUUCCUUAAAGUAUCAAACACCACCUGCCAAAUAGGUAAUGUACAUGGUCAAUGAUCGACAAACAGGGUCGGUAAAUGGACACACAGAGUGAAGUAAGAAGAGAGACUGUUUCACAAAUCCAUACUAAUUGGAAGAGUAGUAGAUCCUACAGAUCGAAUUCCUUAAGAAUGAACUCCACCAAGGUAAGAAAAAGAGCGCCAAACUAAAUCCGUAUUUUAAUGGCCAUUGAUUUGGUUACAUCCCAAACUAAUCAAGCCACCCUCCUAUCAAACCCACAGUUCAAAUGUUGUGGAUCCAAAAUCCUUGUCAUGGCACUGGGCAACAAUCAUUUAUCACAAACAAUCUUUAAAACAAAUUAAACCUGGAUUUGAGUUUGGAUACAUAGUUAGAUUUAAGGGUAACAUCAGCAAUAAAAAAUUACCACAAUUUUUUAGGGAGACAGUAAGUGCGAGAUUUACAGAACACAAUUCAACAGAAAAAGCUUGGAAGUAUUAUGCAAUUAGAAACCCACCAUGUACUAACGCAUAAGUAAUUACCUUUGAAGCAUGGGUGACAAAUGAACAGAAAAUUACAGAGUUGACUUAGAACCAAUGCUUGGCUAUGUUACCAUGAACAACCUGCUACCAGACGUGUAAUUUACUUCUAUGGGAAGUGUGGAAGCAAAUUCUCUAAAGCUAUUGACUUACAGAUCAAAACUGCUUCUCAAACAACAAUAACAUGCAAAUAAAAACAUGAACAUCAGAAAGGUAGAAGUAAAGACAAGAACUAUACAAACUUUAAGGGUCAAUUAAUGGUACAACAAACCAGCACACUUUAAAAUGCAGUCAAAUGAAAAUCUCAGGAAGAUAAAUGUAAUUUUACCAAUAGCAGGAAUGGAUGUUCACUUACUGUCCUUGCAGGGGCAUUCACUCCCAUUGCAAAUGUCUCAGUUGAGAAUAAAACCUGUGGAAAGAAAAUAGUUUAUCCAAAUGACACCCCAACCCUGCCUGAGAAAUAAACAGCGAGCAGUGACGCCAAAAACAAAAUUUCAUAAUUAACCUAAACCACCGUCAAAGAUUUCAGCAAUCUGUAAGCUUUCAAGAAUUUCAUCAUCACUUGGGCAUCAUUCUGUUAUUACGAUCCCUCCCACCAUACUGAUAAGUAAUCAAAGGUAAAUGAUUGUCCAAGAAGAUUUCUUGUUCUACUUUUGCUCAUCUACAUCCUAAUUUCACUCGAGGCAAAAUGCUCCCAAGUUCAUAUCAAUAACUACUUUAUCUGGAUUUUCAAAUCUUUAAACAUUUAAACAAUAAAAGAAUUGGAAAUUUUGAUAAAUGUUUGACAAUCCUUUUCUUUGUGCUUUGCACAUAUUAAUAGUUCACAAACUAAUCAAUACUUCUUGCAUUGUCUUCUCAAUAUGCAGCACUUCUUAUUUCUUUUAACAGUUACCAAAUAACUUCAAAAAAUUAUAUUUUAUAUCUUCAAAAUCGCCUAGAACCAAUUUGUAGAUCUUGAUCUGUCAACCAAUGUCUUUAGUAUCCCUGCCAAUUUUCUGGUAGGACACCAGUGUCCAUAGUUGAUCAUCUAAGUUGGCCUAAUUUCUGGGAUCAAGCAUUGAAUAACAUGCAUGCAAGCAAACCACUGGUAAAGAAACUAUGCUUCUACAAGUAAACUACUUACCUUGACCAAACCACGACAGAAAAGCAUUUCAACUACUUCCUUGACAAUUGGAAGCAGUCCAGCAUGAUGCACACCAAUGCCCCGGUGAAGAAGGCUUUGAACUCUGACAAUCUGUAUCACUAAAAGAAGUUUUUGAACUCUGGAAAAUCUGUUAAUAACACGUUGGAUAUACAGGUAAAAGGUUUCCAAUUAUACAGCACCUGUGGUAGGUUCCUAUCGGACCCCUUUAGCCGUGAAAAUGCUUUAUCACAGAAGAUCCGAAUCUCACUUUUCUCCGAACUAGUUGUAAGGUCAGUUGUGGUCAUACUAUCAGCUGAUUUAUCACACCGAUUCUUUGAGAAACAAAACAUAACCACCUGAGCAGAUGAAUUGAGGUAAAAAGAAAAAAAAAAACUCAAUUAGCAGUUAUGCUCAAAUUUAGCCUGACCACUACUGCAAACUAUACAAGAGAAAAGUUGAAUUUAUUUGAUCGCAUGCAUUUAAAAUCAGCAUGUGAUAAUGAGACUUUCUUACUGACUAGAAAAGAAAUUAUCUGGAAUAUUCUAAUUAAAAUUGAUUCUUCUCUACUUGCACUAUGUGACACCAACAGCAUAUAAGUUCCUUAUAAUCAAAGAUAUACUCCAAAUUCUAUAUAAAAUCCAAAUAUGCACACAUACAGGUAACAAGGAUUUCUUUGACAGCUUGUUAAUCAGCGAUAGCCACAUUGUAGCCUCUGAUCUCCUCAACCCUGUAUUAGGGCCAAGGCCAUGGCUUUUCUUUUUAUUCCCUGUCAUGUAACUUAAAAGACUUCAUUAUUCUUUUUCUUCCCCAAAUUGUAAGAUGUGAAAUUCUGAUUGGAGUCAUGAAAUAUGUAGAGUUUAGUUCCUAUCCACAUGCUUUUAUGUGGCUGAUUAAAAUGGAUAACAUGCAGACAGUCUUUUGCCAUUCAUUUCUCAAUUUUAUUUUAUUUUUUGACUAUUAGAUAUGUCGAUGACUGACAUCUACAUGUUGAUGUGACAUAUUGUGAACACAGAUGUCUAAAAACUGAUGAAUUUAGAAAUAAACCUAUAUCGCCCUAAGUUUCAGAUUUGAGACUUUGAAAUAGAAAGCAUAGUUAAUUUUACAAAGCAGAUUUUAAUAUGUAAUAAUAUAUGUAAGAUGAUUAUUCAGAAGUUAUUGAUGGGAUUUACUUCAAGCAAUUUAAAUACCCAUCUAGGGCCUUGUUUCCUUUGCUGCAAUUAGGGCCAAUCAACUGUUAUUAUGCAACAAGAUGUGUUUCCUGGUUUUAAAAUGAUGAGGUCAACUUUCUUUUAUCUAGCUCCAUUUGGACCCAUGAUUAAUGCAGUUGUCAUAUUCUCUUGAAAGUACUGUUGUGAAGUACAUUGAUACGGCUUAAUAAGGGUUCACAAUAGCAACUGUAUCAGCAAUUUUAGUGUCUUUUUACUUGAAACCUAGCUAUCAUGCUUUGUAUCAUAAGCACUAAAGUUUAAUGGCUUCAUGAGGUUAAUGUCUUCGGUCUGUUCUUCAUGUUUGCAUUUGAUGCAGAAUUCACAACUAUGUCUGGGAGACGGCUCCGUGAUGCUGUGAAGGCAGUGCUUACUGCAAGUACUGGACAGUUUAAUGGAAAUGUGCAUGUUGUAAUAGCUGGGCUAAGUAACACAUAUUCUCAAUAUAUUACCACCUUUGAGGAGUACGAGAUACAGAGAUACGAGGUAAGUGAACUUGUCAUGCUACAUGCUUAUUUUUUGGUUGUUAGGCGGGGAUUUUUUUGUUGGGGGAGAGGGAUGGGGUAGUUUGGGUUUCAUGAUUCUAUUUUAUUCUGUCUCAAAGCAUGUUACCUGGAGAAACAGCUGCUCUUGAAACAUAUUGGAAGAUCAUAUAAGUUGGUUGAAAUGCUGUUGUUGCCAAGUAUACGCUCACUAUAAAGUGUUUCUUUAAACGUAUGUAUCUUGUUUUCUGAGUAGAUUUGGUAGUAUAUCAUAUCUCUUCGAGAUUCAUCAUGCUCUUCCACAACAGUGGUAGAUUUUGAUGCUUGGGCCACAAAAACGUUGCAACUUGUUCUGUGUAUUGGCACCUGUAAUCUAAUUAAUCAAGUUGUUUAAGCCGCACCCUGUACUUUAAACUUCUUAUAACGGAGCAAACGGUACGGAAGAUAACGCUAGUAACAGCAUACUGCAUUAUCAUUAUAGCAUUUUAGCAAUUUAUACUGGAUUUCUCUUCUCAGGGUGCCUCCACACUUUUUGGUCCGCAUACCCUCAGUGCCUACAUACAGGAGUUCAAGAAGCUCGCAACAGCCCUAAAAAGUGGACAACCUGUUCAACAAGGCCCACAACCACCAGAUCUUCUAGACAAGCAAAUAAGCCUUUUAGCGCCAGUUGUGUUGGAUGCAACUCCCAUAGGCAAAAAAUUUGGGGAUGUCUGCAAAGAUGUACCUAAGAACUCCACCUUCAAGAGAGGUGACACAGUAACUGUUGUUUUCUGGUCCGCAUGCCCCCGAAAUGACCUCAUGACUGAAGGUACAUUUGCUCUUGUGGAGCUUCUCCAAGGGAAGGAUACUUGGAUUCCUGUUUACGAUGAUGAUGACUUUUGCCUCCGGUUUAUAUGGUCAAGACCUUCUAAAUUUAGCGCUCGAAGUCAGGCGACUUUAGAGUGGAGAAUACCAGAAACAGCUGCUGCAGGUGUUUAUAGAAUAAGACAUUUUGGUGCUGCUAAGAGUCUUCUGGGGUCAAUCAAGCAUUUCACGGGUUCAUCCAGUGCUUUUGUGGUGGCCUGAGAAUCCUCCAUUUGGGUAUAUAGAUUAUAAGGUGAUCAGAUGUUUGUGCUUUGUGCACUUUGUCAGAUAUGAGCUUUAACCUGAGGAAACAUUCUCAGAAACAAAGAGUGUUUGCUACCUCUUUUGGUCGACAAAUUUCAGAGAGGCUCCUCGGAAUUUGCCCUUUGCAUAUUUGUAGCUCCGAGCUCAUGUAUCAUUCAACUUAUCAACCACGUAUUUUUUUUUUAUAGUAAACGCACGUAUAUCACUCACUCUAUGUCUAUGGUUCCAUUCCAUAUAUAUUUAGAUCAUUAACUUUUUUAUUUUUUUAAGUCAGAUGACCUUGAGGUUUUUAAAUUUUAAUUUAACUCUUAAAUCUUUCCAUCUUCCCUAUGUAAAGUUAGGAAUUUUCUCUUGAAAGUAAAAAAGAAAAAAGAAAAAGUAAUUUGGAUUUAAAGUAGGUGACUCUAAAACUUCUUCUGUUGAAAAAGUGCAACCAGUUUUUUUUUUUUUUUUUGGGGGGGGGGGGGGUGGCGGGUUCAAAUUACGAAAAAAUGCAGUAAUUAUUUUGAAUUCAUCUGGAGCUUCAGCCCUCUCAAGUCAAUAAACAAACAGAAACAAAGAAGAGACAGCUUGGAGCUUUACAUCGCGUUGUUUUAUUUUUCUGAAAAACACGAUUCGACAAGCGAAAAGGAAAUUAAAGUGGGGAUGCCAGGAGAAACGACAUCGUAAAACGCCACCAUCGGCAUUACUGGUCGCGCCACUGUAGAUCUCUCACUGGCAGAGCUCCGAUACAUCAUAUACGAGAGCACAACUCAAAGUACCCUCCUCUCCAAAAAAAAAAAAAAAAACAGCAAGAGCUAGAGCUAGCAAAGCAAAACUAAUAAAGAGGAAAAAGGCAGUUUUUUCUCCCAAAAAGAAAAACAAAGAAAAAAGAAGAAGGAGAAGAAGAAGAAAUGUCAGUGCAAGAAUAUUUGGAUAAGCACGCGCUCUCCCGGAAAAUAGAAGACGCCGUCAAUGCCGCCGUUAGGGCCAAAACUCCCGAUCCAGUCCUCUUCAUCGUACGUCUUCAAUGCUUAUGGUAUUUGUUUAAUUAGCUUUUCAAAUGAUAUGCUUUAUUAUGCAUAUAUAUACUUAUUUGGUGAUUAUGUGACAGUCGAAUCAUAUGAAGAAAUCGGUGCCUUCGAUGAUUACGAAAGUGAAAGCGCGACAAAUUCUCGAUAGCAGAGGUAUUCCAACGGUUGAAGUUGAUUUAUACACCAAUAAAGGCAUGUUUCGUGCUUCUGCACCCAGUGGAGCUUCCUCCGGAAUGUAGGUCCUUUUCCUUACUGCUUACAGAAAUACUAGUCUGUUGCAAUAGUUAAUCUAAGUGUAAAUGCUUUGCAAUGGAAUUUGCAGCACCGCCACACUUGAGAUCCCAAGCUUUUGAUAAUAAUAUCUGAUUAUAUUCCAUCUAUCGGUUGACGUAUUUCUGAACUCAGAAAUCAAUUCUGAACGAGUGUUGUUGUAUUGAUUUCCUGACUCUAGGUAUGAGGCUAUUGAAUUACGUGAUGGAGAUAAGGGAACGUAUCUUGGAAAUGGUGUGAGCAGGGCUGUUAGAAAUGUCAAUGAGAAAAUAUCUGAAGCUUUGAUUGGUAUGGAUCCUACUCUUCAGUCUCAAAUUGAUCAAGCCAUGAUAGACUUGGACAGGACGGAGAAGAAGGUAGCUUUUCCAUUCUCUGAAGUCUUUUGUCAGAAUUUUGUUCAUUGUUAUCAACCAAAUAAAACAAAAUAAAAUACUGAUCGUUUGUUUUGCACUGUAGACCCUGUAUGACUUUGGAUGAUGCUGUAUACAUCAUAUCUAUUCAAGCCAUUUCAUUUAAUUGUUUACACUCUAGCACAAGAUGUCAUCCUAGGAUGAACUGCACUGAGGUGUUGGGCAGUAGUAUCCAAAACCUUGAUAACUUUUGAGGUGUUAGGCCAUAGCACCUGAAACCCUAUAAUCUCUUGUUCAAGACUUGCAAUUAGUGACCCUGAAGCAGGCACUGUUGUUUGUUAGCCUUAUAAUCCAAUUAUAAGUUGCGAAUCUGUCACCUUCUGCAUCUCUAGGUAGUUUGUGGUGCAACUUCAAGGUGGAUUGAUACAUUCAAAUUUUCUUGGUUUGCAUGAAAGAUAAUGAUAUCAAUGCUUCCUUAUAGAAUUGUGGCCCAUUAAUGCCAGCUUAAAUUAGAUUGCACUUAUCCAGUAGUAAUCUUUUAUUUUUAAUUUUUUUUUUGUUGUAAGCAAAUCUUUUAAUUAGCUAAUAGGAAAUUGAUAUUCACAAGAACUUGAGUUGACACAAAAACACAAAUCCUCGAAUUUCUGUUUCAUCUUCCUAGUAGUUUGAUGGCACGAAUAAGUCAGAACUUGAUCAUCAUCUAUUUUUGUGUCUAACAGAGAGAAAGGUGUCUCUUAAUCAUCAUCUAUUUUUAUGCUUAAGGAAAAGAAAAUAUCUCUGUAUCAUUGUGUCUGUUUGCUAUAACAUACAACUGAUUCCUUCCCUGCCUGCAUAUUUGUCUAACCUUUGCAUGUUCCUUGUCAUACAUCAGGAAAGUCAAUUAGUUUUCACAAGGCCUCUGCUCCAUUUCAGUAAUUUAUUCCUACCUCUAAGAGAAAGUGCUUUUUGGGAAUUCUUUUUUCAAGUAAUUAUUUUCUUUGUCUGGCAUAUUUUCAGUAAUACUGCUGAAUAUUUAUCUCUUUUCCUGAAUGAUUUGGAAAUUUAGUCUUCUUUUUCACAAUUUGGUGCUGCAGGGUGAGCUUGGAGCAAAUGCAAUUUUAGCAGUAUCCAUGGCUGCUUGCAAAGCUGGUGCAGCCGAAAAGGAGGCAUGUGAAUGCUCUUUUUGGCAUUUAGUUUUCACUUAAACUAAACUAGAAGCGAUUUAUCUGCUACGUGUGAUAAUUUUUACUUGCAGGUUCCACUGUACAAACACAUUGCAGUUCUUUCGGGCAAUACAAAUCUUAGUCUUCCUAUUCCUGCUUUCACUCUUCUAAGUGGUGGAAAAUAUGCUGGAAAUUUUUUGCCUGUUAAGGUAAGCUGUGCUUAGCUCCAAUUACCUAUAUUAUCAAGCUUUGUUGGUUCCUGUGAUUGAUUUCCUGUUUACACCUUCUGCAACAUUUUAUUGGCUACACGUGGUUGCUUCUUUCAAACCUUUUCUUAAGGUUCUUUUUUUUUCAACUCUGUGAAUUUACAUGUUAAUUUAAAGUGCAUAUUUCUUAAUGUUAUCUGAUGAUUGGCUUGAAAUUUGUCAGCAAAUUAUGAUUCUUCCAAUUGGAGCUAGACAGUUUGAGGAGGCACUGCAAAUGGGCUCUGAGACUUAUCAUCAUCUAAAGGUAAUUUACCCUUUUGUUGUUAGCCUGUGGUUGCAAGAAUAUAUUUUGCAACUGCAGAAAAGAUAUUGAGACUCCAAAUUGUCUUUGUGCAAAGAGUGACUAAUUAAGAAUUUGGAACUCUGUUAAAUGGUCCACUAUCACUAUCAUAAUCUGGCGAAGUGGAUACUCCUGUCCUUGGGACUCCUAGGACAAGUAUUUGAACAAAGUGACAUGAGACUGUUCUUAAGCCUAGAACUCGACCUCUGCCAUUGAAGGAUGCCUUGACAAGCAGCUAGGUAAAUGUUGAGAAUUUUAACUCUUAAUGGAAGACUUCGGCCUCCUUGCCCAUAAAUGUGAACUUUUUAAAAUGGAAAUUGUUAUUGGCACUCCAUAUUUGUUAUGACACUUUCUUGACUUUUUUUAAUUACGCAAAAAGUUGUAUGUAACCCUACUGUAAUUGCAAUUACAAACUAUAUAGUAUUUGGAAUGUAAUAUAGGGGUAUGUUUGUCUUUCCGGAUGAUUAAAAAUGUCAAAGGAGUGCCUACAUCAAAUUCGGUAGUGCCAAUACCAGCUUCCCUUUGAAAUUCCUAUUACUAGGUCUUUACUUUGUACAAAGUGGAGCAUGCUGCAAAAUCUCAAGAAUAACUAACUUUACACAAACAUAUUUCUGAAAUUGCCCAUUCUGUCAAGACCAGCAAAGAUAUUUGUGAAGGAUGCAAAGUUUUGUACCAAAAUUUUUUUCUCUGCCCCUCUUGUUUUAAUCUUCUAGCUAAUUUGUUAAUUGUAAGCUUCAUUCCAAAAUGGGCAGGCCGUUAUUAGUAAAAAAUAUGGCACUGAUGGAUGUAGUGUUGGUGAAGAUGGUGGUUUUGCUCCAAGCAUCACAAGGUAAGUUUUUUCCUUUUUUCCCACCCAAAUCAUUGAUCUUUAAUUUGUUCCAUUUGACAAUAUAUUUAUCUUUGACCUGCUGCUUUAUCAGCAUUCGAGAAGGUUUGGAUCUUGUUAAGGAGGCAAUAGGCAGAACUGGGUACAGUGAAAAGUUAAAGAUAGCAAUUGAUGUUGAUGCCACCGAGUUCUGCAUAGGUGAUCUUCUUAUUUUUUUUUGCAACUAAUGGUGGUAAAAUGGGAAAAAAAAGGGACAAAAAAAGGGGCAUGUUGAUGUGUGUUAGGCAAGAGUUUUAGUAUCUGUUUGAUACAUUCAAAUUUUGUGUGGACAUUUGAGAAAUUUUCAGAUGAGGUAUCAAAAUGACUUUCCUUGGAAAAGAUUGGAGUUUAAAGCUUAAUUUGAUUUUGGAAAGUAUAUGUCAGCUCUCUUUGAGCUGUUUCGGUUUAAUUAUCUCUAGCUACCUCUUAUAUUUGUUUCUGUCUCCUGGAAGACUGAUUUUUGUUGUCUUCUCUGAUUUAGGUACAAAGUAUGAUUUAGAUUUCAAAUCCCCCAACAACUCAGGUCAAAAUUUCAAGUCAGGAGAGGAUAUGAUUAAUAUAUACAAGGAUCUUUGUGCAGGUAUAUCUAUUAUAUACUCCUUUCUUAUUUGAUUUAUUGUUGUCUCUUGAUGCUUUCUACCUGUUAGAGCAGGUAGAGUUUUUGUCACCUUACUAAGAUAUUCUAAUUUCGCCUAUUUUGCUUGUGGAAAUAUAAUGUGAAUUUGUAGAUUACCCUAUUGUUUCAAUUGAAGAUCCAUUUGACAAGGAGGAUUGGGAGCACGCCAAGCAUUUUUCAAAUCUUGGAAUAUGCCAGGUUUGUCUGACAUUCUUCCUGAUGAUUACCGUGAUCACUCUUGUUCAUACUUAAUAAUUAGGACAAACUUAAACUAGUCAUUGCUGAAGAGUAGGAAUCAAAUAGUAAGCUACUGUGAGGAAUUUUUUUUUUCAAUUAUUUUCUCUGCUCGUAUUAUUCAAACAAUAUUGUUAUGUAGUGAAAUUAAUUCAUAGGCACCUAGUGGAACAAUGAAUUUUAUUCCAAGUUGGUAAUAUUAGCAGAAUUUAAUCAUAAUUCUGUGGUGCAGGAGCUUACAAAAGAUAGAAAGGGAUGAGAUUAACAUUUUAUUCUUUAAUUAGAUGUUAUAUGUGUUUGAUUCCUUCAGCUAUGUAUCAUUUUGGACAAUGCCUUCUUUUGGCUAAUAAUGGCACGUGAUAGUUCUUUGGGUUCCUAAAAUAAGCUAGCUAGGUUGGAGUAGAUGUGUUUUCUUAUGGAAUUAAGUAGUGAAUAUAUUGAAUAUUUUCUACAGUGAGUUUAUCGCUUCCCUCUUCUUUCCAUUCUCUUUUUGGUGCUCUUCUGUUCAAACUAAAAAAUAGUUUCUCUUCCUAGGUUGUGGGAGAUGACUUGUUGAUGUCAAACACUAAAAGAAUUGAAAGAGCUGUGCAGGAAUCUGCUUGUAAUGCUCUUCUUCUCAAGGUAUCUGCCAUUGACAGUUGAGUUUUAGAUUCUCUAGUCAAAGUAAUUUUAUUUUUUCUGGAGUUGGACUGACUGAUAGGAUUGCCUAUGUGCAUUUGGAGAUGUUGGGUCUUUGUGAUGUUCAGAAUACGUAGUUUGCAUUUCUAUUUUGUCAAUAUGGUGGACAGGCACCUAUUUUCUUAAGUAUCGACCUGAAUUGGCUGUUUUACAUGAUAUGAUCUUGAACUUAUCUUAAAAGAUGGCCUUGUGUGCUAUUUAUUCUUGCUAUAAGUGCUUUUUUUUGUCCUCAAUGAGUUAGCUAACUUUAAUAAUAUUGAGGGUUGGACUUCAGGUUAAUCAGAUUGGGACGGUGACUGAGGCAAUUGAAAUCGUGAAAUUGGCCAAGGAUGCCCACUGGGGAGUUGUGAUAUCUCAAAGAAGCGGGGAAACUGAAGAUGCAUUCAUUGCUGAUUUAUGUGUUGGCCUUGCUGUAAGUCAGAUAAAAGCAGGUGCCCCUUGCCGAGGAGAAAGACUAGCAAAAUACAACCAGGUUCAUACAUUACCUCAUAACUCUCAGGUUUUCUUUGGCUCCAUUAACUUCUAUUUGAUGGUGCCAGCUAAAUUGAAAUUUUGGUUGAUUGAUAUAGAAUGUUUCAAUAGCUGAAGUAAUGGGAAAAAUUAAAAUGUAAAAAGAACUAUUUGGAUAUGGAUUAUCUUUCAGGCAUGUGACUCUGUAGGAGUAUUUAUUUUCUUGGUCUCAUUCUCUGAGUAGGCUUGGAUUCACUGCCCCACUCCCAACCUCCCUGGGUAUAUAAAGUGGAGAAAGUGCUCUUCACAACUGAGAUAGUUAAAGAUUGAAUAACAUGAAAGUAGACAGUUUUGUUGCAUUAACCACAGGUGCUUUCUCAGCCCAAUGGAUGAAACCCUGCCCUUGGCUGUGUGGUGUAGGCAUUUUAAUUUGAUUGUUAUUUAUAGAUAUAAUAUGGUAUAGACUUUAACAGAUAAAUGUUCAUCUACAGUUGCUUAGAAUUGAGGAAGAUCUUGGAGACCAAGCAGUUUACGUGGGUGAUGAUUGGAGAUUGUCCUAACCUCCUCAGUGGACCACCUGUUCCUCAUGUUUUGCCCAAUUACUUCGUACUGAAGUUUGCCUGAUAUAGAUACUAGCGUUCUUGAUCAAAGAGCUCGGUUGAUGUUUCGUGUUAGUUUUGGUCACAAUGGCUGGUUCCCCCCAACCCCCUUUUCCCCUCUUCCAUUUUGGCUGCGACCUUGUGAUACUAUAGCAGGCAUCUGUGUAUCAAACACACCCCUGAAAAAGGGGGCAAAAAUGAAAGAAAAAGAGAUAUAAGGAGUAUGUGAUUGGACUUUUCCAGGAAUUUGAGGCUGUGUACAUUUUACAAGAAUAUGUAAGUUCAUGUUUUUGAUGAAAUAUUAACAGCUAAAUUCAGAAUGGUUUCCCAUUUUACAAAUUUAGCUCAUGCUUUUACUUCACGUGCAUCUGAGUUCGUCUCAACUCUCAACAGCUGCUCGAAACACUGUUGAUCACUGCAGUAAGGUGGGUGCCUUUUAAACCAUUCUAAAAAUGCUUGUCCAGUUUUCGAUAGCGUGAUCUACACAAGUGAUAUUUUGCCGUGGCAGAAAGGUGUUUGGUAUAGUGUAGAGCGACUGUUUAUUCUCGUUGUUGUAAUUUUCAUCCCAAAUCACGUCAGUAAAAAAUUGAUGUACACAGGAACCUUCCUCGUGCAAGUCCGCAAAAGGUAUAUCAUAAUAACCUGACAGUCAUUGAGGAACUCGCUACUUGCUACCCUAGCGGACAUACUAUUAAGGAGACCCGAUACACAAGGUGUUGCAUACAUGGACAUCAGGGACAGAACGGGUGGAGUGGAUUUCUGGAAGCAUGACUACACAAUGGCUUCGCCUGAGAUGGAUCAAUAGACAUUUAAACGAAUCCAGAAAAUACAAUAAUCUGACAUCCCGAUCGAAGGCAAAAUUCUGGUGUAAAGAGUACUAGUAGUGCGAAAACCAUUAAGAUAAAGAGUGAAAGAAAUUUACUGAUUCGAAGAAACAAAAACAACUACAACAAAUUUAGAAAACACAAAAGCAAAGGAAAAAGAGAAAACGCAAUUACAACAAAUUUCGAAAACAAAAAAGAAAAUGAAACUCUAAUAAACUCAAGCAUAACAGACUAUUUAACAAUGAAAGUCAUAUAAACUAUCCACUAAGAGCUGAAUUCUCAAGUAAACAAGAUUAAGAAAAGUUGUGGCAGAGACAGCAUCAGCAGAGAUUGAAAAUGCUGCUGCUGGAGCAUUCAAACUCAAGGCUUUGUCUCUUCUUCAUCCUCUUCAAUCUUAGGCGCCAGGUAAAAUCUUAUAUAACCCAUCUCUGCAAUCUUGUACUCAACAACUACAGGAAGCUCUGAAGACAAACUGAUGGUUACUGUGUUAGACAAUGGGCUUGCCUUGGUAAAAGAGUUCAAAUACCUAAGGGCAAAUGUCAAGGACACUGGAUCAUUCAUUUCUAUAACAGUUGCUUCCUCUGGCUGAAAAUAAUGACAAAAACAAAUAAAAUCCAAUAACAGAGCAUAAACUGACAAAAGCAGUAAAAUUCUCACAAAAUAAUGUACCUUGUCAACAGUUGUAUUCUGCCGGCAAACAAUAUUAGCAGACCCAAUAUCACCUCUUGUUGAAAAUUUUACACCUUCUUUUGUCACAGAUAUCACAACUGCAAAACACCCAAAAAAGUAAGUAAAUACAAAACGGACCAACCCCUAUAUCAAAUACAAAAGCCUAACCAAGGUUGACACGUUUAGCUUAUUGGUGACUUCUACUAAUAAAAGUACCUGUAUCACCGAUACUGCUGAGAUCUUUACAAAUUCUAGCAAACUCAGCCGAAGGCAUCCUAACAAUAGCCUGGUACUCUGCUUCUGGAAUUCCAAGGUGCUCACUGUCGAUGUCCAUAAGCUUCAUUUCAAAAUCAGCUAUCUUAUCUUGAGCUUCAAAUCCAUGACAACAUAACCAAAGAAAAUCAGUUGACGCAAUAUGUUAACCACCAAAAACAAAUACUGUAUUGAAUAUUAACCAUGCCAAACAAAAAAAUCACACACACACACAGAUGACAAUAAACCCAUCCUAGAAAAUCACAGGAAGAAGGAUUUGAGGCAAGCGGAGGAGCAGCGAAAGGAAAAAUCAAAGAAGGGAACAACUUUGAAGUCUACUUUUAAAUCACGAACUUAUAUAUUUUGGAAAAAAAAGUAUCAACGUUUUUUUUAUUUAAAUAGAAACAAGCAAUAUUGUGGUAACUCCCCGAUAAACCAUGUAUUCCCCGCAACAAAAAAAAAAAAAAGAUUUAUAAACAUCACUUCAUUUCAAUAUAUGAAUCAUCAGAAUCUAGUCUUUACAUGCACAUCGUUUUCAGCAUCUAAAUUGCAAUUAAUAUGAUUUCCCAUCUGAUUUUUCAAUAAUUACAUUUUUUUCUGUUAAUUUAACAAACUGUAAAUAUGAAAGAUUCAGAAAAUACAUAGUCAAUUUUUUUCAAAGAAAACAUAGAAAUACCAAAAUAGAAAACUUACUGGGACUUUCAAACAUGAAGGUAACAGUAUCACUGCCAUCGUCGCCUUUAAUGGUGAUGAUGUCAUCGUUUCCGGCGCACUUGAGCAUCUUAGCCAUAUUGUUAAGAUUCAUCCCCAUGGAAAAAUUACGGUCACAGCGGUAGUGCUCAAAGCCUUCGGAUCUGAGCAGCAGAGCCACCAGCGCGACGUGGCUGGAGUCCAUGGCUUGCAAGGAGAAGCCACUCGAGGAACAGUCGAAAUUCGCAUCGUUCACCAAAUCUUUUAUGGCGUCCAGAACCUUCUUCAACAAACUACCCUGAACAAGCCUUAAUUCAAACAUCUCUGAAGGGAAAUUCAGAGGGAAAUGGCUAGGGUUAGGUUGUACAGAGGGCCGGAGAGUUCUUUUUUCUUUUUUCUUUUUUUUUUUUUUGAAGGAGGGAAAGUGGGAAAAAGUGGGAGGGAAAUAUUAGCGGGGGUUUAUAUACAGCACUGAAAGUAAUGGGGGAAGCGUGCUUUGGAAUUUUAAUACCAGUAGGGACUAAAGGGCAUUUUAAAAAUUUAUUUUUGUUUAAAGAAACCUUUUUGUGAGAUGGCGGGAUUUGAGUGGUGCCCAAUUUGGUAGACGAUUAGAAUUCCCGCCAUAUACUGAUUUGGAAGUCCUCAGCGUGAAGUUUGGGCCAGGUCCACUUAUUAGGCUGCGGUAACAAUCCAGGAAAGCGCUAGCGGGCUACAAUUUGAGCAAUGGUUUGGGCUUAACCAAAGUGAUUCUCCCAUUGGUUACUAAAAUGAACAUGAUUUAUUGUCACCCACGCAAUUGUUGCAUCUUCUAUUUGGAUUUGUUUCUUGGGUUGAUCAAUCCGCAAUGAAUAAUUUAACUCUUAUGACCUGAAAAAGAUUUUUUUUUUUUUUGUCAACACAUGGGUGUCCGGGUCAAUCCUUACAGGGUCCGACUAAUCCCCUGUGACCCGGGAGAGGAGGCUCCACUCCACACCGAACACGUUAACAGCGGGACUCGAACCCUGGACAAGCCAGGAAGGUCGCCAUACCCUGGCAUAUAUCAAUGUCUCUCUUUAGUAAUCAUUCAUUUGCAAAAGCCCCACACAUCACACACAUUUAUUUUUUUUACUAUAUAAAAGCGAAAUUCAUUAACAGGAUCGUUAGAAAUCAUCUAACGUGAUUUAAUUUACAUCACAAAAAUUUGCAGACUUCUGUAGUAUAUUCGUGGUAUCAAUUGAUUUUAGAAUAAUAGAUUUAGCUAUGAUCAUAAGGCUUGACCGAGUUACCUAUAAUUUCGAAGCGUCAAGUCAAUUUCUAAGACCAAACAAUCUCCUGCUGGCACUUCACAAUUUCGCACUCCCUUCUUCCCUGUCUUGUGUUGCUUUCAUUUUUUCUUUUUUAAGUCAAAGUUGUUGCUUUCAUUUGACAACCGUUCCUGCUUGGCAAAGCAAAUGAAAGUUUGUUGCCGAGCAGGGGGCUGCUUUUGGUUCCACUUCCAUCCCAUCACGAUGAAGACUGAUGCAAAUAAUUUCAUUAAAUAAAGAGUAAAUUUUAUAUAUAUUGAUAGUAUAUACACUAUCACCAUUUAAUUCAUAAUAUAUGUACAAAAGUUGAAUUUCAAAUUCCAAUUUUGCAUAAUUGUUAUUCAUCUAAUGCUGACAGUAUAUAGGAAAAAUUAUACACUGUCAGUGUAGGCAAAAAUUAAUCAAUUGUAUUAAUUUUUGAAAUAUUUGAUGUAUUAUAUGAAUGAAAUGUUUUUCAACUUGUUUUUGUUUGUAUAUUAUUAUAACAUUAUAUUUGAAAAUUUUAUUUUUGAAAAAUAGACCAAUCAAAAUGGAGUUGUAAUAUUUGAAUUUGAAAUUCAAAAUUUACACAUAUGUAAUGGAUUCAAUGGUGAUAGUGUAUUAGGAUUGUCAAUGAGGUCGGAUUAACCUAAACUUAGCUCGUUAAGCCCGAAAACAAGUCCAAUGAGCCCGACCUUUUAGUGAACGGAUUUGAAUUUAAAUCUAAAAAUUAUGCCCAAAUUAAAUAUGAAAUGAGCUCAAGCCUUAUUAGACCCAAAUCCGAUAUAGUCCCAACCCUUAAAUUACAUUUAUAUAUAAUUUAUAUUUUGAUAUUAUACAUAAUUAUAUAUCCAAAUAUAUUAUUGCUAAAUGUUAAAUAUAUACAAAUUAUAAAAAUACAAAAAUACAUUUAAAAACUCUUUUACUAGUUUUCUUGAGAGCCAAUAUUAGUAAUGCAUAACUGAAAUUCUAACUUUUCUUAUUGGUUGAGUAAAUUUUUGUGUUAGCAUAAUAUUGAUUAAUUUAUUUUUGGUCUAAAAACACAAAUUAUCAAGCAUGUUUUGAUUCAAAUCACAAAGUUAUGAAAAAGUUUCAACUUUUGAAGAUGUAUUGGUUUAUGGCCGCAUGUUUUAUUACUAUUUUUCAUGUAUUUUGAACGAAUUAGAUAUAAUAUUGUAAAAAAAUUCUUGAUUUAUAUACUUUUUAAAAACUAUUACUUGUUCAUGUUUAAUUUUAAUAUUAUAAUCCUGUGAAUGUUAAAUUAGUUUUACAACUUAAUAGUUAUAGUAAUUAUAUUAAGAAAUUUGAGGAGCAAUAAGUGAAUUUGGGUUAAACGCGAAUAAGGUUCAAAAAUAUGAAUAUUUUAUGAGUUGAAUAUGAUCAUCAUAUUUAUUAACCCGAAACUCAUAAUUCGAAACUCGAAAGUGUUACAAAUUAAAUUAGUUAAGUCUAAAUUUAUGAAAAUCCAUCUUAUAUGACCUGAUUGGCAAGCUUAUAAAAUUUACUGACUUAAAAAGAUACACUGUUUGUGUGUAUAUAAGAUUUACUCAAUAAAUAUUCCAAACGCCCCAUAAUUAGUUGAAGAAAAGCAAACAACUCCAGCAUAGGUUGUCACAUGUACAUGUAUUCCCCAAAUUUUAUUUAUAAAAAAUUUACUAAAAAUAAUGAGUAUUUUUAAGUCAUCUGUAAUGAGAUUAGCGUAGUACAGUAGAAUUUUGGGAGAGUCCUGUCUUGUAUCAAAUUUAACUAUCAAAAUCAAAUGCACGAGUUUUUAAGCGCUCGCAAUCACUUUCUUUAUAACUUACUCUCAAAUCUCAAUCAUCAUUAUUAUUAUUUGGAUCUCCUAGUCCGCACCCUGAUUAAUUCGACUCGGUAUCUCCUCCGGCAAUGGCGGAUCCAUUCGAGAUCUCCUUCGCCGGAAUCUUCCUCAGCAGCGCCUUCGCCGCUUGUUUUGCCGAGGUAACUCUUGUUUUUCUUAGUAGUAAACUCUUUCAACAUUUACGUUUCUACGUUCUGAAAGGUAAAUUACUAGGUAAAAUGACAUACUUACAGCUCGUCUGUGCAAAUUCCAUUUCAGCGCUGACUACCAAUGCUCAAUGCUGUUAGAUUCAGAUUUCACAUUUAAAUGUGGAUACGUUGAUCUUAAUUUUCUUUUUGUUUUAUUGUUUUUUUUCCUUUGGUGAAUUUGUUGAUUAUGCCUGCAGUUGUGUACUAUUCCCUUGGACACAGCUAAAGUUAGGCUACAAUUAGAAAAGAGAGCUGCCAUUAGUGGGGAGGCUGGGGGUGGUGGCUCAAAGUACAAGGGAUUGUUAGGUACAGUUGUGACUAUUGCCAAGGAAGAAGGUCUUUUAGCGCUUUGGAAAGGAAUUAUACCGGGAUUACACCGUCAGUGUCUCUAUGGCGGUCUAAGAAUCGGCUUAUACGAGCCUGUAAGUUUUCGGUGUGAGUUGUUUUUGCUUAAAAUUUUUAGACACAUGGUUGUAUGUAUUAAUUUUGGCAUGCUAUUUUGUACACGUCGGACAGGUUAAGGCAUUCUUAGUUGGGAGUAAUGCUAUAGAAGAUGUUUCUCUGUUUAAUAAAGUACUUGCUGCUUUGGUAACUGGUGAGUUAGCUCUUGUUUCGUGUGAGUUGAACUGGAUUUACUAUGUUUGAUGUAUGAGUUGUAUUGAUUUCUUUUUCUGUUCAUAAAAAGGUGCUAUAGCAAUUGCUGUUGCUAAUCCAACUGAUCUUGUGAAAGUUCGGCUUCAGGCUGAAGGAAAGAUGCCUGUUGGAGUGCCUAGGCGCUACUCUGGAGCUUUGGAUGCUUAUUAUACCAUUGCCAAACAGGUGAAAUUGCUGAUAAGUAUCUAACCACAUACAGUUAUAUGUGGUCGUUGGUUAAAUGCUUUCUUAGUUAUUCAUUUAGCCAACAAAAAUGAAUAGGAAGGACUGGCAGCUUUAUGGACAGGGCUUGGGCCAAAUAUUGCUAGAAAUGCAAUCAUCAAUGCAGCUGAGCUAGCUAGCUAUGAUCAUGUGAAAGAGGUAACCUCGAUUUUGUUACUUGAUUUAGAAUAUGUGAUUGCUUCUCAUAAUCAGUUCUUAAUCUGCAUUCUAACUUGUCCAUUCUGUUUCUUUCCUUGUAGACCAUUUUGAAAUUUCCAGGAUUUUCAGACAAUGUUUUAACCCAUCUUCUAGCCGGUUUAGGGGCAGGUUUUUUUGCUGUCUGCAUUGGGUCUCCUGUUGACGUUGUAAGUUACGUUUGCUCAGACACUUGUUGCAGUUAUGCUAGGCAGUGAAUACGGCAUCCCUGUGUCAGCAUCAAGCUGCUUUUGUAGCUCUUUUCUCUGCAAAGUGUUAUUCCUGUGGAGUGAUGUGGGUUACAAUAUUAAGAUCUUUUAGUAAAACUGUCUAGGGAAAAGCACAAAUAUAACAGGGUCUAUUAUGGCAUGCAAGAAAUAUAAGGAAAGUGUCGAUGGUGUCAAACUUGUUUAAGUACCAAUAGAAGCACAGUUUGCUUGAGACGAUUGUUACUGGCAUGAGAUAUGUAUAAACAAAAUGGUGAUGAGCAUGAUUGUUUCUGAAAACCUGUAUACGUUCUUGCAAAAACUUGAAGCAUUCCUAGCAUGGAUUUAAGUCUACUCCUUGACAUUACUGUUGACAAACUUAUUUUGAAUCUAAGCUUUGGUGAUAUUUUUCCAGGUAAAAUCUAGAAUGAUGGGAGAUUCAAUCUACAAAAGCACCUUGGAUUGUUUUUUCAAAACUUUGAAAAAUGAGGUACGUAUUGCCUCUACUUUUUCGUUUCUCAUUUAACUGUGACAAAGUUGCAGUAUUUUCAUCUUUCUGCAGUCAUCAAACAAUUGUCUAAAAAUCAUCUUUCUUCCUUUUUCUAUUCCUUCAAAUCUAGUUAUACGAAUUUGGAUGUGGUACUGCUGUAUUCGGUCAUGGUCUCUGUUGCUAUCAGUGAAAUGUUUUUAGAUGAUUAAGUUCAUCCGCUGUUGUGCUGGGGACAGCUAUGUGCUCUUAGUCUUCAGUGUCUUGUUCAGUUAUGAUGAAGCACACUCUGGUUGAUCUGGAGCAAAAAUUUGGAUACUAGAUGUACUAUUGCGACAGAUCUAUUUCUCCGGCUAGCUAAUGUCUUCUGAUAAAAAAUUUUGCAGGGGCCUUUUGCUUUUUAUAAGGGCUUCUUACCCAACUUUGGGCGACUAGGUCUAUGGAAUGCCAUCAUGUUCUUAACUCUUGAGCAGGUAAGUGAUACUUCCGCCUUAGGAAGGUUGCUUCUCUAUUCAGCAUAAGUUGUUAUAUGUUUUUAACCUAUUGAAAAUAAUGUUUAAGAUCUCCUUUUAUCAAUGGGUUGAUGCUCCAAAGACCGGUUUAGUUUGAUGAGUUGUAAAAGAUUUUAUCCAGUAAAGAAUUUAGUUUCUUCGUCACAAACAGAAACUGCUCAUUCCUCUCUCUACUAUAUUAUAACUAGUAUGGUGCUUCUGGAAUAAUUUUUCUGUCAACCAUUAGAAAUUUGGCUGCAUCUUGGUCCUUGCUUCUUUGAACUCUGGUACUGGCUGCUGGCGCUCCUAUCCACAAACCAACUAAUAACAAUCAUAUUUAUUACUUCUCUCCAUGACAGGUCAAGAAACUAUUUUUGUGAGUAAUUUAAACCAAAUCACCUCGAGUUUUGAGGAGCUGUCAUCUCUCUGCGGGGUGAGAGUGAGAGAGAGGGUCCUCUCCUGCAUCUGACUGUUCAUCAUUCAAUUGAUAAGGAGCAUUUCUUUCUGCGGGGGGUCUCUGCUUAUUCAAAGAUCAUGAAGGAGCACAAAUGCGGAUGUCAAUAAAAGUGAAUUCCUUCUUGUCCGUAUUAGCUGUGACAACAUUGCAUAGUAGUAUAUACUCGUUGGAAAAGCUUUCGACACAGCAAAGAGAAUUACCGCUUUCAACAAUAUUUCUAGAAUUGAAGAAUGCGAGAUAUUUGAGACAUAUCGUGAUGCAAUUCUUUUGUUUCAACUUAACCCUGUAUACCAAUAUACUGUACUUAAUAGUGGAGGAUUUGUAUAUUCAGAUUAUUCUGAUCUUAUGAGAUAAUUUUUCAUGCAGGGUAUCUGUAUGAGCUUUCCAGGUUCCAUGCCCAAAAACUGAGAGAGCUCUAGAGGCUCUUCCAAUUCUAUCAGGAGUGAUCUUUGCAAUACCCCGAGCAUCGAGCGAACAAAUAAGAAACAUUCAAGUGCUAAACGCUACAGCUUCAUCAAUCUUACAACAGAGUGAUUAAUUCUCUUAAGAUACAGAGGAAUUAUGCAUCCUUAAACAAAUCUACUGACUGAAGACUUGAAUCUACUAUAGCCAAGAAAACUCCCAUAACCGAAGCACCUCAGAGCUCGACCUCGUCCAUGUCUUCUAAGUUUUAACUAGGCUAAAUAGUAGUACAAAUUCAAUACCCGUUCUUGGGAACGACGUAUACCCUGGCUUUAAUUAGCGACCCAUUUCCAAGUUUAAACCCGGGGCUCACCGGAAAGCCCACCACCUGAGGCACGCCCGCACCCAUUCGUCCACCACCUGGAACCCUCGCCACACUGUCCAUAUACUGCGGAUGGAAAUCAGCUCCCUUAGCCGCCUCAAAAUGACUAGGCGGUGGGUCCAUCGAAAAUGCCAGCAAAUGUAGCAGCCAAACUGCCUUAGCAAGGCCCAAAAACUCCCCAUAAAAUUGACUCCUGGGGUGGUUUCCGGCCAAAACUAGGCGGCGCUGCUCCAAGUCCCCGAAUAACGAUUCCUCCAUUUUGGGAUGAACAAUUGCCAAAUACUUCUUGAAACAGAAGUUCCCGAAGCUGCAAGUUGGAAGUAUCCCUAACAGUUCAAUUGGGUCCAUGGCUUUCAUGUCGCGGUACUGAGUGAAGCAAUCGCGACGGUGCUGGUCGGGAUGGAUCAAUGAGGAGAGGCUGCCGUCCAUGUAAAAGGUCUCGUGGUCGAACCCCUGAAACAUUUUCCGGUUAACAUAGGAUUCUAAAGCGUACUUAGCGUGGUUGGCUCCGACUAUGGAGUCCGGAAAGGUGGUGGGGGUGGGUGUAGUCGGGGAGGCAUUGCUGGAGAAAGAAGCAGCUUCGAUGGAUCUCACAGCGGCUGUGAUGUCCCAAUGAGCUGAACGCAUCAGGGAAAGGAGCAUUGCCGUGAAUGAUUUAGCAGUUUCCUUUACUGAGCUCAUUGUCGAUUCAAAUAUCUCCGGCGCCGGUGACGGUGCCAGGCCUGCAACUGCAUCGGAAAAAAAAAUUCGUAGUCAAACAACGAAUGGCACAAUCUGAGAUACAUGCAAAGAAACGAGGGUAAACAUGUCAUUUAGCAAAGGGUAGUAUUUGGAAUAGGAUCCUGUCACCUUGACUACUACAGCUGACUUUUCUCUUUGACUUGCUGCCUUUCCUUACACCGCUGCCACUGCCGCUCAGCGACGACGCCGUUUUAAACUUCUCUCUCAAGUUCUCAAUCUCCACAUCCUUAGCCUUCACUUCCCUCUUCAACUCCUCCAACGCCGCCUCGUACGGCGCCACCACCUCCCUCAGCGUCGCCGCCCCUACCUUCCACCCCCCUCUCCCUCCUCCAGUAUUCCCAAGACUCCUCCUGAACCUCUCCCUCAACACCCCGAUCCUCCGCAGCUCAGCAACCACAGCCACGUCCGCAACGCGCAUUUUAUCCGGAUCCCAGGGGCAGUGCGCCUCCUGCAGGCUAACGUACGCCCGCUUCAUCGCGGAAGCCGCCUCGAACACUUCGCCAAUCAGCAUUUCCAUCUGGAUAACUCUCUCAUUUCUCGGGCCACAAUUUCGGUCCCCUUUGCUGUUGUUCCUUUUCACAUCCCAAUUCUUCAGCGAAUCUCCUCCGUCACCCACAUCGUAGCGGUCAUCGUCUUCUUCGUCCACGUCUUGUUCUUCAUCUUCCUGAGUUUUGAAGUUGUCGUCGUCGGAGUCGUCGGGGGAGUGAAGAACAGUGGCAUCGUCGGCGUGGCGGAUGGAGCCGAGGGGGUUGAGUAAGCAGUUGGCGGUGACACGUUGGAUUAGAUCGGAGAAGUUGGAGACCUUGGUUGUGGUGGCGGACAUUUUGUUGAUCCUGACUGAGUUUGUGGGACUCGGGCUGCCAGUCACUCGAGUGGGCAGUGGCAUCAGUUAAAAAUGUGAGUAGUAGUAGACGAGCAGGAUUAGUCAGCGAGUCAAAGCAUUUGCUUUGUAUAGAUUUUUUUUUUUUUUUCUUCUCUUCCCAGUAGAGGCUCGGUUUAGAUUUAUGGUGGGAAUGUGGGGAAUGUAUUACCGACUUAUCCAAAAAAAAAAAAAAAAGAUAGUCCUAUAGGAAUACUACAACUUACAUGUGCUGGAAAUGAAAAAAAAAAAAAAAUCAAUGAGCUUUUGUCUUGGUUGUUUUGUCUGUUCAAUGGGACGGGUAAGUAGCUUAAGAAAACUGAGAGAAUCAACAGAGAUUUGUGGUUGGACAAAUGCAUUCUCACACUCACUGAGCAGUGUAAUACUACAGAAUCAUACUACCUAAUACUACUAAAGCUUUAGGGCAAAGUAAUGAAGAGUUGAUUAGCUGAGGAGGAGGAGAAGAGGGGUAAGAGGGCGAACCAGUUGCUUUUCAGUUGAGGGAUGUCAGAUCGUAGAGAAAACUUUGUAGGGCGUUUGGUGAGGUGAUCCCGAUUGACUGGAAAACUGUAGGAUAGCUGCAUCUCUGGCACUUGAGUUUCAUCACGGCUCCCAUGUCCUCUCUUCUUUCUGCAGAUUCAGUUUACACAAUCAUAUUUCGGAAUACAUUUUGAUGCUUCUCUGAAUUAUCCCAUAAGAUAAAGAAAAUUUAAAUGAAUUAUUGCUUCGAAAGCCCGUUUGGUUAUUAGAGUAUUUUGGUUUUGAGAACUCCCAAAUUUGAGGUGUAAACACAGUCUACUAUUUGGAAAAAGUUACGUUAAAUAGGGCCCUGUAGCUACAGCAUGUUGUCCUCCAAAAAUAGAAGAUAGUAGUGCUCCAUCAGCUAUUAGCAAAGGCAAUUAGAGAACCCUUCGUUUCAACAGUAUAAUUUACGAUGUAUGAGUAGAAACUACUUUCGUGUAUUUGCCACGCCAUGAGGCUAAGAAUGAUGAUGUAAACUUCUUUGAAAUAAUGCAAUAAUGAGCACCAAAUGUCGGGUGAAAAAAAUGAUCAAGCCCGCAGGCAGGAGUUCAUAUAAUAGUACGUAUUGGCAGGCAGGUUUGGUGAAACGUUUCUUUCUGUCCUCAUGGAACAUGGUCGAUUCACUAAUAGUAGUACUACAAAUAUCAGAAUUUUAGUAGCCAAUCCCCAUGGAGGAAGAAACUUAAUUAACUUGGUAAUUGGAGGCAGAACAAGUGAUGGUCGGUCCCCGCUCCCCCUCCCCCCGUAGUCCCAAAAUCCAAAAUUGGCUAAACUCAUUUCCACGAUCAAUUGAUCACUGGCAAAAAUUUAAGGAUCGGAGCAUCUUGUGACUCGUAAAAUCUAGUCCUUUGGCACUUAAGAAUCUUUGAUGCAAUUGCAAACAUACCCUUUAGAGCAGUGUUUUCAAGAGGUAAGAGUUUCAUCAAUUUUACAAGUGUAGCUAACAGUGUAAAUUUCGAGGCCACAAAAAAAAAAAUUUAAAAAAAAAAGAAAAAGAAAUUGGAACUCUAGAACAAACUCAUGCAGACACCAAUCCAUUACCUUGACUUGUCGCAUCGGAAUGAGCGAAGUAACACGCUAGAAAACAUAGUUGAAGAUGGCUAGAUCAGUGUGGGCAAGUUGUGAACUGAACCCAGAGAGUCUUUGGGGAGGGGGGGGGGGGAUAAAUUUAUAGCAACUCUGAGGGCACUGAGGAAAGGUGAAUAAAUAUUUUACUAGUAUUUAUAGAGUUUGGAGUGGAACUAAUGCAUAUGGCUCUCCAUGAAAAGACAACAGGAAGGUGCUGUACUUUAUUAGUAGUGUAUUUGUUCAUUAAUAUGUAAGUUGAAUUAUUUGAACACUAAGAAGGUUCUGAUAAUCUGAAGCCCGAUCACUUGUAAAUCAAGAUAAAAGAUGUUCAAUAUAUAUAUAUAUAUAUAUAUAAACCUGCAGGAGUACUUGAGAUGGGUACCAGCCAAACUUGGAGAACUCGGAUGAUCAGGCUUAAGCUGGGUUAUGGUGAGUAUCUCUUCGGUCCUCCUAAAUCGACAAGUGGAGUAUUAAUUUUCAUUUAAGGCCAGGCAUUGAAAUGCUAACAUGCUGCAAGCGAGCAUCCCCUGAAACACGCACUACUAUAUUUGACAAGUUCAACAAGUUAAAGAAACACUUCGACGAUUCACCCUCUCCAAUCGGGUUCAAACCUCACCAGCAGCGAAAAAAAUCUAAGGAUUGUGCCAUAGCACUCCCUUGGUCUAGUUGGGUCUGUAUACCCACUAGUCCUUACAACAGCCUCCUUAGGCUCCCCCUCCCCCCUAGAUUAGGAUAGAGUAGGUUAUACACAUGUAUCGUUGCUGACAAAAAAAAAGAUUCACCCUCUCCAAUCACAUCCCUCAGUUUUCGCAAUGUGUCCCCUAGCAACAGGAUCUACCAUUUUUUUUUUGUUGAUAAAAGAAAAGUCUGAGUGAGUCCAGUUUCGAUUGCCAUUAUAAUUAAGGAAAUACAUAUUCUUGAAAUCAUCGGCAACCAACUAGCCAAGUACUAUUUGCAAAGAACAUAAAAUUGAGUGCGAUUGUCCGUCACCUUUUGCAAAAUGAAACCAUUUUUCCUUAUUAUAUCUUUUUUUUUCACCCUUAUAAUAUCAACUAUCAAGGAUGAUAGUUUCUACACAAUUAACUUCAAUUGCACUUGCAUUUGUCGUGCCAUAAAUGAGAUUUGUGCUGAUAAAAAUAUAAAACACGGUCUAUUAUAUUUGCAUCAACCAAAAACUUUCUAAAGUGCUCAAGCUAAUGAGAUUCAUUGCAAUUACGGAGUCUCGUUAUUGUUUUUUGAGUUUUUCACGUGAUUCAUAUACACCGUGCCGGGGCCUAAUCUUAAAAAGACAGCGUGACUUAGUCACCAGCAGGAAUCUUGAGGCAAUAAAACGAGAGAAUACGUCCACACGCGUGAAUAUGGUACCCGCCCAACAAUGAGACACUGAGAUGGUCAUGGACCUCCCCCAGUACCCGUAUCACGUUUUGGAAGGCCCUUUUGGAUCUGAAUGGGUUAAGAGGCGGGCCUUGGACAGAAGGAACAUCUUUUUGAGUUAGAUUGAAGCCCUACGGGAUGGAUGUGAACUCUCAACGCGUUGCGUGGCCACUAGGCAGCUCCUAGGCCUACGUGGGCUUAUUUGUGAAGAAAUCCUCAACAGUUAGUCUUCGUCGUGUAAUGGUCCAAUAAUUUGCAAAAUCUUGCAAAGCCACUAGUGCCAGUUGAGUCACAAUAAUUAAAAAAAAAAAAAAAAAAGGGCAAAAGUGAAUCUAGAAGUGCAACUCAUCUGGCGGAGAAGAGCUGGAACCUGCAAGCUGGUGCUGCGAAGUUUGAAGAGCCACCAUUAGCUGUGGAGAUAACUGGAGCGGGUACAAUGGGCUGUUGUAGGCCCUCCACAGCAGGCGAAGGCGGAAAAUAAUGCAACAAUUAUGUCUGGGGACUUUCGGUAGCAUUUAUUUACAAGGAAAAGAGCAAAAUCAUUCGCAAUGUCCCUCCAUAUUUUGUUCAUCGUUCAUCUUUAAAAUGAUAAUUUUAUCACCCUUAUGUAAUUAAAUCGAUAAAAUUUGAUCACUUUUUAGUAUAAAAUCACCAUGUGACCUAUAUACAGUCAUUUUUUACGUACAAAAAUAUUAGAUUUCACUUUUUUAGUAACAAAAACGAAUAUAGAUUGGGUCGAAUCUUAUUUUUUUAGGAAAAGAAUAAAUAGGUUUCAAGACUAAAAAAUUUAUUUUACAAAAUAUAAAGGACAUUUUAAACAACCUUCUCGAGAAAAAGUGUAGGAAAGUUAGCUAUUUUUUUUUUCUUUUGUGUAUAUUUGUUAAGUUAGAAAAUACUGCUGCAUUUUUCCUCACUUUCUUGCAUGUUGUGUGCCGCAAAAUUGCACAAGUUUGGAGGAAAAAUGCAAGGGUUGCAUAUCUUGAACAUACUAGCUUCUUUUAUUUUUCUAUUUUUCUUUUUACGAAGUUUUCCUCCCCAUUUUUUUUCAUGAUAUUUUCUUAGACUGCAACAGCAACACGGCACCAUGUUCAGAUCUCAUGACUAAAGCCAUCCAACAAAGAGAUGCCACCGAUGUGGUGGGGUCCAGCUUCCUGUUCGACUUGACCCUUGAGAACCAACCAACCAACCGUCAGCAUUUCAACUGGAAAAAAAAAAAAAAAAUUCCAGAAACACCGACUACUACAAUUUUUAUACUCCACCUCAACGUGGUGAGGCCCACGGGAAUUAAAGUGUUGCCAAAAUAUCUAAAUGCCUUGCCAAAAAUAUCUUGCACCGGGUCAGGCUCAGGGCCACUCCAACUAAUUGAAGAAAACAUCUUCUUCAAAGAAAUACGUGGUUCCUGCUCUUUCUUCUUUUCUUCUCAUCAGAAAAGACCGAAGAAGAAAAAUGGAGUGUUGCACGAGGCCGAACCGCAGCGAUGUUCAUGUGUCAAAGGAGGAAGAGGCAAAGCUGGAGGAGUCCACCAGAGAUUACUUUGAUGCUAUGGCUCCAAAGCGCCAUACCAAGCCUCAGCGCAGCGACUAUUCUAAAACUUACACCGAUUCUUGUUCUGAUGAUGUUAUUCCUGAGCACGUUCGAUUUCAACUUCUUGAAAAUGAUCCUCAGGUUACUUUCUUCAUCAUCAAAACCCACCUAGUAAUCUAUCUGUAAUUUGAUCUUAUUACUUAGUUCUUGUAACUUGUUAAGACUUGUUCUCAAGAAGUUUUGAGCUAGUUUCUUUUUUCUGUCCUGUCCAAUUGUUGCAGAAACUGGGGCGCACCAGUGGAAGCCAAGCAACUGAGGAGUUCGUUGAAACAGAGUAUUAUAAAGAUCUCAACUGCAUCGACAAGCAACAUCACACGGUAGUAGCGUGAUUUGAUUCCAUUGCAUCUCUACAUUAUUUUGGUUACCUCAACUGGUCGAAUAGUAACAAGAUCAGAAACAAAAAAAGCCAGCAUUCG
rnacentral:lncRNA from 1 species